rnacentral:rRNA from 1 species
AGUGAACGCUGGCGGUAGGCCUAACACAUGCAAGUCGAACGGCAGCACAGGAGAGCUUGCUCUCUGGGUGGCGAGUGGCGGACGGGUCAGGAAUACAUCGGAAUCUACUCUCUCGUGGGGGAUAACGUAGGGAAACUUACGCUAAUACCGCAUACGACCUACGGGUGAAAGCAGGGCACCUUCGGGCCUUCCGCGAUGGAAUGAGCCGAUGUCGGGUUAGCUCGUUGGCGGGGUAAAGGCCCACCAAGGAGACGAUCCGUAGCUGGUCUGAGAGGAUGAUCAGCCCCACUGGAACUGAGACACGGUCCAGGCUCCUACGGGAGGCAGCAGUGGGGAAUAUUGGACAAUGGGAGCAAGCCUGAUCCAGCCAUACCGCGUGGGUGAAGAAGGCCUUCGGGUUGUAAAGCCCUUUUGUUGGGAAAGAAAUCCAGCUGGCUAAUACCCGGUUGGGAUGACGGUACCCAAAGAAUAAGCACCGGCUAACUUCGUGCCAGCCGCCGCGGUAA